rnacentral:rRNA from 1 species
UACGUAGGGGGCGAGCGUUGUCCGGAAUCAUUGGGCGUAAAGAGCGUGUAGGCGGCCAUACAGGUCAGCUGUGAAAACUCGAGGCUCAACCUCGAGACGUCGGUUGAAACCGUUUGGCUAGAGUCCGGAAGAGGAGAGUGGAAUUCCCGGUGUAGCGGUGAAAUGCGCAGAUAUCGGGAAGAACACCCGUGGCGAAGGCGGCUCUCUGGGACGGUACUGACGCUGAGACGCGAAAGCGUGGGGAGCGAACAGG